AACACAUAGUGAGAGCAUUAUCUUCGGUAAUCAUUGAAACGCUCCUAUGCAUUGCAAAAAGGAUUCAUCAGUGAGUUGUCUGAAGGAGAAAAUCUUGUACCUCAAGGC